rnacentral:rRNA from 1 species
GACGAACGCUGGCGGCGUGCCUAAUACAUGCAAGUAGGACGCAGUUGCGAACGGGUGAGUAACGCGUAGGUAACUGCCUAUUAGAGGGGGAUAACUAUUGGAAACGAUAGCUAAUACCGCAUACUAGUAGAUGGACCUGCGUUGUAUUCGCUAGUAGGUAGGGUAAUGGCGUACCUAGGCGACGAUACAUAGCCGAGCUGAGAUGGGGAUCGGCCACACUGGGACUGAGACACAGCCCGGACUCCUACGGGAGGCAGCAGUAGGGAAUCUUCGGCAAUGGGGGGAACCCUGACCGAGCAACGCAGCGUGAGGGAAGAAGGUUUUCGGAUCGUAAAGCGCUGUUGUUAAGGAAGCGGUACUUAACCAGAAAGGGACGGCUAACUACGUGCCAGCAGCCGCGGUAAUUC